AUUGAACGCUGGCGGCAGGCCUAACACAUGCAAGUCGAGCGAGCGGCGGAAGGGUGAGUAAUGUAUGGGGACUGCCCGAUAGAGGGGGAUAAAUACUGGAAACGGUAGCUAAUACCGCAUACUAUCGGAUAACCCAUAGGGGAUUAGCUAGUAGGUGAGGUAAUGGAUCACCUAGGCGACGAUCCCUAGCUGGUCUUGUAGGAUGAUCAGCCACACGGUGACUGAGACACGGCCCAGACUCCUACGGGGGUAGCAGUGGGGAAUAUUGCACAAUGGGCGCAAGCCUGAUGCAGCCAUGCCGCGUGUAUGAAGAAGGCCCUAGGGUUGUAAAGUACUUUCAGUCGGUAGGCGUUACCGACAGAAGAAGCACCGGCUAACUCCGUGCCAGCAGCCGCGGUAAUUC
rnacentral:rRNA from 1 species